GAUUAGAUGGUGUCGAUAUAGCGUUUGGAUUUUUGUUGACCAAACCACUGCCACGGCUAGGUAUUUAAAGUGGGUCCGUCGAACAACGCACUAGAAGUUAUGAAUUCACAUCGCUACCAGCCAAAUCCACAAGGAUGAUUCCAUUUAAGUUCGCUUAGCAAUUACACACGUUUAUACUAAAGGGACAACAAACACGUUGCAUUUUAAACCUCACGAAAGAGGUCUAGUUAUCUCUAAAUCUUAUUGUAAUCUGAACGGUAUAUCCGAAUCACCACCAACAAUUAAUGUAACGCAUCCUUUUAAAAAAAACAAUAUUAAAAAUAGAAGUUUUAGCAUGACUCCAUUUAACAAAAGAAAGAAUAGGUACGACCUGACGUUUAUGAUGGAAGCUGACACCACGCGGUCGCUGACCUUGCUGUUGCAUUCAUCCGUCCGUCAUUUUGUCUGGCGGCCAGCGAACCUCCAAGAUUUACGCCGCUAACAGCAUGCUACUCGACGCGUGCAAAUGAUUAAAUGUAAUAGUCAACUCAGGUUCCAUAAAAAUGUUCCAAGAAUGACCAAAGGUUUCAGAACCGGCGUUUCAAAUGUCUACAACCAAUCUACGUUUCUACAUAAUAACGUGGUUGUAUUAAGAAGAAGUGUGAUUACAUUAGGUCACGUAUAUAGGUUAGGUUAAGUUCAGAAUAUAUUACAUUCCCAUCCUGUAACAAAAUACGGAGGUUAGCACAUGUCACUAAAGUUUGACCUACGCCGGACAAAGAAAAAAACAAUUUCAACCGAGUACCUUAAAAGGAUAUCCCGCCCUAGUUCCCAGUAGGUAGCCAUCUUAACAUCUCACGGGAAAUUUUUAUGGUUGACCGGAACUGCAAGAAUUUGUCUCUUUAGCACAACAAAAUUCGAUAAUCACGAAUGCUAACCAAAUAUAAAUUCGAGUCUUACCAAGUAUCUUACAUCACUGCCUCUAAGUAAAUUUAAUGUUUUGGAAAGUCAACUACAUGUCUCCAAAUUUCAGCCAGCCAAAAGAAAAAACUCGAACGUGCCCGAGUAUAUAACGAGAAGAUAACGGGACUUUCUUCAUAAAAAA
rnacentral:lncRNA from 1 species